CGCAUUCGCUUCCGCAAGGAAGAGGAAAGUCCGGACACCGCAGAGCAGAAUUCCGAUUGAAAAGUCGGGGGGAAACGGGCGCAAGCCUGUUUUUCACGGAAAGUGCCACAGAAAACAAACCGCCGGUCAGCCGGCAAGGGUGAAAAGGCGGCGUAAGAGACCACCGCGCCUCGGAGCAAUCCGGGCGGCACGGCAAACCCAAUUCGGUGCAAGACAGCGUAUGAAGAAGGGCUGCUCGCCCGCUUUAACUUCGGGUAUGUCGCACUCCGCAAGGAGACGCGCUAUGCGCGUAGAUAAAUGAAUGCUAUGGCGCGGGGAAACGCCUCCGCGCCGAAACAGAAUUCGGCUUACAGCUU
rnacentral:RNase_P_RNA from 1 species